CAUUAGGGGCAGUUCCUCUCUAUUCUAAGCUUGUAUUCCUCUUGAGUUUUAGGAUGAACACUCUGGAAAAUGGUCACUGUCCCAUGGUGAAACCGCUGAACUCUGUGGUUCUCUAAAGCAUCCCUCUGCAGCACCAUGAAGGAGUCCGCCCAGUAGACAAUGAGAAGACACCGAUGUACUCCAGGCCAUCUGAAUAUCCGGCUCUUUGUACUUGCAUGACACAAAACACAGGAGCCAGGAGCAAAUAAACCACAAUCUAUGUGCAUGAAAAUACUCCAAACAGCUGGGGUGUCAGUCCCCAUAAUAAUAAAAGCUUGAGCUCCUGGGAAUUCUUUACUUGGA